GCCCGUAUGGUGCAACGGCUAACACACAACCCUGUCACGGUUGUAAUCCGGGUUCGAUUCCCGGUGCGGGCG
rnacentral:tRNA from 1 species